rnacentral:rRNA from 1 species
AAUUACGGCCAUACCACACUGACAAUGCCCGAUCUCGUCUGAUCUCGGAAGCUAAGUAUAGUUGGACUGGGUCGGUACUUGGUUGGGUGACCGCCUGGGAAUACCCGGUGCUGUAAGCA